rnacentral:rRNA from 1 species
GACGAACGCUGGCGGCGUGCUUAACACAUGCAAGUCGAACGGAAAGGCCCUGCUUUUGUGGGGUGCUCGAGUGGCGAACGGGUGAGUAACACGUGAGUAACCUGCCCUUGACUUUGGGAUAACUUCAGGAAACUGGGGCUAAUACCGGAUAGGAGCUCCUGCUGCAUGGUGGGGGUUGGAAAGUUUCGGCGGUUGGGGAUGGACUCGCGGCUUAUCAGCUUGUUGGUGGGGGAGUGGCUUACCAAGGCUUUGACGGGUAGCCGGCCUGAGAGGGUGACCGGCCACAUUGGGACUGAGAUACGGCCCAGACUCCUACGGGAGGCAGCAGUGGGGAAUAUUGCACAAUGGGCGGAAGCCUGAUGCAGCAACGCCGCGUGCGGGAUGACGGCCUUCGGGGUGUAAACCGCUUUCGCCUGUGACGAAGCGUGAGUGACGGUAAUGGGUAAAGAAGCACCGGCUAACUACGUG